rnacentral:piRNA from 1 species
UGGGAUUAAAGAUGUGUGCCACCUCUGCC